UACGUAGGGGGCUAGCGUUGUCCGGAAUCAUUGGGCGUAAAGCGCGUGUAGGCGGCCCGGUAAGUCCGCUGUGAAAGUCGGGGGCUCAACCCUCGAAUGCCGGUGGAUACUGUCGGGCUAGAGUGCGGGAGAGGCGAGUGGAAUUCCUGGUGUAGCGGUGAAAUGCGCAGAUAUCAGGAGGAACGCCGAUUGCGAAGGCAGCUCGCUGGAACGUAACUGACGCUGAGACGCGAAAGCGUGGGGAGCAAACAGG
rnacentral:rRNA from 1 species